rnacentral:rRNA from 1 species
AUGCGGUGUUCUCAAUCCCAAAAAUGUGUGCAUGCAACAGAACGAGUGCAAGUGCAGAUACCCGCGGCCUUCAAUGAAAACACGACACAGGGUAAGGACUCAUACCCUGUUUAUCGUCGUCGAGAUAAUGGUCGGCAGGCUAAGGUCCAGGGUAAAAUGUUGGACAACAGAUGGGUUGUUCCGUAUAACCCUUACCUUCUGCGGAUGUUCAAUUGCCACAUCAACGUUGAGGUUUGCUCCAGCAUAAAGGCCGUCAAAUACCUUUACAAGUACAUAUACAAGGGCCAUGAUAGGGCUUCUUUCAGCAUCGACCAGCCCGACGCCGAUGGUAACAUUGAUGAGAUCAAAAGAUACGUAGACGCGAGGUGGGUUACUCCUCCAGAGGCGAUGUGGAGGAUAUUUGGCUUCCCCUUGUGUGCCAAUGAGCCGCCUGUCCUACAGUUGCCUCUUCAUCUCCCGAAUAUGCAUAGGGUGGCAUUCAAUGAGCAAGCUCACUUGACCGACGUAGUCGCCUCUGAGAAAGCUUCCAAAUCCAUGUUGACAGAGUAUUUCAAAGCUAACCAAGACCACCCAUGGGCUAGGAAUAUAUUGUACAAGGAUUUUCCCGGAAGGUUCACAUGGCAGAAGGGUAAGAAGUAUUGGAAAGAGCGGGUGGAGCGUUUUCAGAUAGGUCGAAUUGUGUCUGCCAAUCCUGCCGAGGGGGAGCGAUACUAUCUGCGUGUGCUACUAAACCAUGUUGCUGGCAAGACAUCAUAUGAGGACCUGCUCACCGUGGACGGUAGGCUAUGCAGGAGCUUUAGAGAGGCUGCCGAAAGGUUGGGACUCAUCGAGGCAGAUAACACGCUCGACGACUGUCUCACCGAGGCAGAGCAGUGGGCGAUGCCAUGUUCGCUCAGGAGGCUCUUCGCAACAAUUUUGGUGCACUGUGAGCCAGGCGACGUGCGUGGUUUAUGGGAUAGGCACUUCGAGCAUAUGUAUGAUGACUAUCGGCGAUCAUACACGUGCCCGAUUGAGGUGGAACAAAUGGUGUUGCUUGACAUUAGGGGUAUGUUGCAGUCCAUGGGCAAAGACAUAGCUGAUUUCGCUCUUCCAUGCAUUGACGACUCGUUCGACCCAACCGAGGGCGAGGCCAGAGAAGUGAUCGAGGAAUCCAACGUCGAUUUUGACAUCAAUGACACUAAAUUGGCUUCGUCGCUAAACUCAGAGCAGAGGGCUGCAUAUGACGAGAUACUAGCUUCUGUUGAACGCGGUGAUGGGGGUGUGUUCUUUGUUGAUGGCCCGGGAGGUACAGGGAAGACCUUCCUGUACAGGGCGCUGCUCGCCAAGGUUCGAAGCGAGGGAAACAUCGCUAUCGCUACCGCGACGUCAGGCGUCGCCGCUUCUAUCAUGCCUAGAGGCAGGACUGCCCACUCGAGGUUCAAGAUCCCAUUGAGCUGCGACGAUGGCGCCUCAUGCACCUUCACGAAGCAGAGUGGUACCGCCAAGCUACUGAGGAUGGCCUCAUUGAUACUAUGGGAUGAGGCCACCAUGACUAAGCGACAGGCGGUUGAGGCACUGGACAACAGCAUGCGCGACAUCAUGGGAAGACGGGACCGACCCUUUGGAGGAAAAACUGUUGUGUUUGGCGGGGACUUCAGGCAGGUGCUUCCGGUCGUCAGGAGGGGGUCCCGGGGUCAGAUAAUCGAUGCAACCCUCCGAAGUUCACACCUCUGGAAGGGUAUGCGCCAGCUAAGGCUCAUCACCAACAUGAGGGCUCAUAAUGACACCUGGUUUGCGGACUACUUGCUAAGGGUAGGCAAUGGCACCGAGGAAGUUGACGAUCAAGGAAACAUACGACUCCCUGAAGAUAUUUGUGUGUCGUCUACAGGCGAGGGUGACGACCUGGAGAAGCUGAUUGACCAUGUGUUUCCGAGACUAGAUGACAACAUGUCCGAUCCGAAUUACAUGACUUCACGCGCAAUCCUCUCCACCACGAACGACAACGUCGACAAGAUAAACAUACGCAUGGUAGAGCGUUUUCAGGGAGAAGAAGUAAUCUACCAUAGCUUUGACAGUGCAGAAGACGACCCGUAUGGCUACUACGCUCCCGAGUUCCUAAAUGGAUUGACUCCGAACGGUCUGCCACCGCAUGCACUCAAACUAAAGCUCAACUGCCCAUUCAUACUUCUCCGGAACAUUGAUCCGGCUAAUGGUCUGUGUAACGGGACGAGGCUUCUGGUGCGAGGUUUCGAGAGGAAUGCCAUCGACGCAGAAAUCGUGAUCGGACAACACGCAGGUAGGAGGGUAUUCCUUCCUCGAAUACCCCUAUGCCCGUCUGACAACGACAUGUUUCCAUUCAAGUUCAAGAGGAAGCAAUUUCCUGUAAGACUUAGCUUUGCUAUGACGAUUAACAAGGCUCAAGGCCAGACGAUUCCGAUUGUUGGUGUGUACCUACCUAAUCCGGUGUUCUCUCAUGGUCAACUCUAUGUUGCAUUGUCUCGAGCGACCGCAAAGAGAAAUAUAAAGAUCCUCAUUGAGAAGGAGAAGGAGAAGGAGAAUGCCAAGAAGAAAAGCGGUAAAUCUAAGAAGCAAAAAAGACCUGCCUUGUCCUUACAGACCGCGAUGAAGAACAUCGUCUAUAAGGAAGUCCUUACGGGCUGA